rnacentral:rRNA from 1 species
AGUGAACGCUGGCGGUAGGCCUGACACAUGCAAGUCGAACGGCAGCACAGGAGAGCUUGCUCUCUGGGUGGCGAGUGGCGGACGGGUGAGGAAUACAUCGGAAUCUACUUUUUCGUGGGGGAUAACGUAGGGAAACUUACGCUGAUACCGCAUACGACCUACGGGUGAAAGCAGGGGACCUUCGGGCCUUGCGCGAUUGAAUGAGCCGAUGUCGGAUUAGCUAGUUGGCGGGGUAAAGGCCCACCAAGGCGACGAUCCGUAGCUGGUCUGAGAGGAUGAUCAGCCACACUGGAACUGAGACACGGUCCAGACUCCUACGGGAGGCAGCAGUGGGGAAUAUUGGACAAUGGGCGCAAGCCUGAUCCAGCCAUACCGCGUGGGUGAAGAAGGCCUUCGGGUUGUAAAGCCCUUUUGUUGGGAAAGAAAUCCAGCUGGCUAAUACCCGGUUGGGAUGACGGUACCCAAAGAAUAAGCACCGGCUAACUUCGUGCCAGCAGCCGCGGUAA